AAAAUGUGUCUGGAAUUGGUGGGUUCUUGGUCUUACUGACUUUAAGAAUGAAGUUGCGGACUUUUGCGAUGCCAAUAUUUUACCUCUUGGGUACUUUCUGUGUAGAAGAUUCAUAACAAGAACAAUACUUAUUCUGCAAUUCUUUAUAUAAAGCUAAAAGAAAAUGCAUUCUGCCAACAACUAAUGAGCUUGGAAGAGAACUCCAAACCCCAGAAGAGGCCUGUCACAUUGGCUAACACCUUGAUUUCCACCCACUGAGACCUUGAGCAGAGACUUCAGUUACACCCCACCCAGACUUCUGACCUGCAAAACUCUCCAGAGGGAAGUGAGAAGGAUGUUCACUUGCUGGUGAGAGAAGGAGCUGGUUCCAUCCAUUACGCAGUCCCCUGGGAGCGCUAAAUGCAACUUUAUCUCAACGGGGAGUGGACGAUGAGCAGGACGUCGCUAGAGGGAAAGAGUGAGUCCUACGGUAGUCAUCACACCGGGAGUCCGGGCUUAACCUAGUCCUUCCUGACACCCCUGGUGGCCGUUCCCUGCGCUCUCUCUUGACGGGAAAGAAAAGGCCCCCAC
rnacentral:lncRNA from 10 species